AUGAGGGAGACCCGCACACAAAGGAAUCCGCAGGAAGAUGCUGCAGGAUCCUCAGCACCAUUGCGAGGUAAAGAUACGAAAAAGAAGUAUGUCCAAAAAGUGCUUUGAAAAGCGAGGAAGCCUAUCUAUGAAGAAGCUGAGCACUAUCAUAAGGAGCACAGGCAGACGCACAGAGCUGAGAUUCGGACAGCCGGGAUGGCAGGAGAAGCUGGCAACCUCCAUGUACCUGCAGAACCCAAACUGGUGUUUGUCAUCAGGAUCAGAGGCAUCAAAGGUCCGUAAGGUGUUGCAGCUUCCUCGCCUUGGCCAGAUCUUCAGUGGAAGUUUUGUUAAGCUCAACAAGGCUUCCAUCAACAUGCUGAGGAUUGUAGAACCGUAUAUUGCAUGGGGGUACCCAAAUCUCAAGUCAGUCAAUGAGCUAAUCUACAAGCGCGGUUAUGGCAAAAUCACUAAGAAACGAAUUGCGUUAACUGAUAACAGUUUGAUUGCUCUAUCUCUUGGUAAAUACGGCAUCAUCUGCAUGGAGGAUCUGAUUCAUGAGAUCUAUACUGUUGGAAAACGCUUCAAAGAAGCAAACAACUUCUUGUGGCCCUUCAAGUUAUCAUCUCCAUGGGGGGGAAAUGAAGAAAAAGACAACUCACUUUGUAGAAGGGGGAGAUGCUAGUAACAGGGAAGACCACAUCUACAGGCUUAUUAGAAGAAAGAACUAAAGUAUCUGCCCUGAUUGUUUUUGUAAUCUGGUCAGUUAAUAAAUAGUGACUGCUUUCAAAUUG